rnacentral:rRNA from 1 species
GACGGAGGAUGCAAGUGUUAUCCGGAAUCACUGGGCGUAAAGCGUCUGUAGGUUGUUUAAUAAGUCAACUGUUAAAUCUUGAGGCUCAACUUCAAAAUCGCAGUCGAAACUAUUAAACUAGAGUAUAGUAGGGGUAAAGGGAAUUUCCAGUGGAGCGGUGAAAUGCGUAGAGAUUGGAAAGAACACCAAUGGCGAAAGCACUUUACUGGGCUAUUACUGACACUGAGGGACGAAAGCUAGGGGAGCGAAUGGG